rnacentral:misc_RNA from 1 species
GGGCAGAAAUAGUUAACACAAGGAGGUGGUCGCAUCCUUUUCCAACAGGAGGUCAGAGGGGGCAGCAUCCUUCUAUCAUAUAGACGAGCAAAGGAAUCACUCCCACCAACUAGGAGCAGAUGAGGCCUGCUGGUACUGAUGUCACAAGAUUUUAAAGCAAGGGUCUGUUUAGGGGGAUCAGCUAAUGACUUCUUUGCCCCACAACGCAAGUCAAGUAGAACAUUACGACACUCUUGAGGUGAAGAUGCAGCUGGUGGACAAGAAGCACCCUCCCGAAAGUCAUGCUGUCUCAGUGUUCCAUCUUCACUUGCACUCCAAACCACAUUGGGAUUUCCAACUUCAACAGCUAAUUUUUUUACUCUUCUAGUGUGACAUUGAUACACCGCUGAGGGAGCAAAGGCAUUAUUGUCUGGACCUCUCCCGCUUAGGCGAGACAAAUUAAACAACCGAAUUCCUGCAUCUCCAGCUCCAGAGACCACAAGCUCAUCAGAAGUUUC